AUAAACAAGUUGAUCAGGAAAGUAAAUUAACUGUGAUUCGCCUAGAGAGACAACAUUUGGUGGAAGUUGUUCGAAGACACAUUAAUUGAAAAUGGCCUGUGAUUGGCAUUAAUGAGUAGCAAGUCUAUAAAUUAAUGACGGAAUGGUCUACGUUAACAGACACACGAAUCGGCAAAGCAUCAUUUCGCUCACUGCCCGCUCGUUGCUAAGGUCUUAAUCAGUAAUGAUUAAGGUGAAGUAGAAUGGUAACACGAGACUCGUUUCUAUU
rnacentral:ncRNA from 1 species